rnacentral:rRNA from 1 species
UACGUAGGGGGCAAGCGUUGUCCGGAUUUAUUGGGCGUAAAGCGCGUGUAGGCGGCCAGGUAGGUCCGCUGUGAAAACCCGAGGCUCAACCUCGGGACGUCGGCGGAAACCAUUUGGCUAGAGUCCGGAAGAGGAGAGUGGAAUUCCCGGUGUAGCGGUGAAAUGCGCAGAUAUCGGGAAGAACACCAGUGGCGAAGGCGGCCCCCUGGACCGGUACUGACGCUGAGGCGCGAAAGCGUGGGUAGCAAACGGG